rnacentral:rRNA from 1 species
UACAGAGGUCUCAAGCGUUGUUCGGAUUCAUUGGGCGUAAAGGGUGCGUAGGCGGCGCGGUAAGUCGGGUGUGAAAUCUCGGAGCUUAACUCCGAAACUGCAUUCGAUACUGCCGUGCUUGAGGACUGGAGAGGAGACUGGAAUUUACGGUGUAGCGGUGAAAUGCGUAGAUAUCGUAAGGAAGACCAGUGGCGAAGGCGGCUCGCUGGGCCGGUCCUGACACUGAGGCGCGAAGGCGUGGGGAGCGAACGGG